rnacentral:lncRNA from 1 species
CAAAUUAUGAGUAAGAAAGGCUUUCAAUCUCUGUCUUAAGAGAUACAGUAUCGUCAUAGGUUUUAGUCAUUGUUCUAGUUAGGCUGGCUAGUGUUAGCACCUUAGGUAUUCUUAUGAGUCAAAUGAAGUAUUUUAUUGUGAAGAUCAAUUGGAUUUUAUAUAUCAAAGUGCUUUAUAGGUAUUCUACAUGUAGAUAUUAAGCAAGAUUUUAGUCCUUUUUCUGCCAGCUUUUUAACUCUAGGCUGGUGACUUCAUUUCCUGAGCUUUUAUUUAUAGGUAAGUACCAUUUACAUUGAGUUCAGCUCUUACAAAUUAUGAACAUUAUUAUUUUUACUUUUUUCUUUCAUCUGCUUACCUUCACCAUUCCCCUUGUUAUUAUUAUCCAUUAAUCCUCACCUAUUUUAUUUCAUUUGGUAAUUACUAUCAAUUUUGUAAGGGCCGGUAAUAUUAGCCUCAUUUUACUGAUAAGGAAAACUGAGACUAAGGGAGUUGCACAGUUGAUUACUGCUAGAGGUAGGAUUCCAAUUCAGGUUUCUGGUGCCAAGGUUCUUUUUUUGAAAAGCAUGUGGCUGAAGUAAAGACAUGUACCUCAGUUAAAGAAAACUUUUGUUUUCUGUUGUUUUCCCUUUGCUUUUUGAAAUAUCUUUGGACUAUCUGAAAUAUGUAGGUCAAGUAAGGAUUAAGACAAACACAUCCAGAAAUAUUCAUUUUUGUCUAGAGUUCACUUAUGAGUGCUAUGCUUUACUAUUUCCUAUUGAAAACUUCAGACACCCCCUUGUCCAGGCAUGCCAGCCCUAGAUAUUGACCUUACUUAGAACACCAUUGCUUUUGGUGUGAUUGACAGUGCUGAUUUAGGCAGGACUCUGAUGCUGAUCCUUUCUGAUUUAAAAACUUCUGUAUUG